rnacentral:rRNA from 1 species
UGAGUAACACGUGGAUAACCUACCUAUAAGACUGGGAUAACUUAGGGAAACCGGAGCUAAUACCGGAUAAUAUUUUGAACCGCAUGGUUCAAAAGUGAAAGACGGUCUUGCUGUCACUUAUAGAUGGAUCCGCGCUGCAUUAGCUAGUUGGUAAGGUAACGGCUUACCAGGCAACGAUGCAUAGCCGACCUGAGAGGGUGAUCGGCCACACUGGAACUGAGACACGGUCCAG